rnacentral:rRNA from 1 species
GUUAGUGUCUAUAUCGUACAGGGUCCACCCGUUCCCAUUCCGAACACGGUAGUUAAGCUGUACUGUGCCGACGAUACUUGACUGGCGACGGUCCGGUAAAAUAGGUCGAUGCUAACA